CAGAGGACAUAUGCGCGUUCCUGAUGAGAUAAGAGCUACACUUGUAGACCACGUUCUCAAUCAUGGGCUUACAAUGGCUGAGGCUGGCCGAAGGGUGCAGCCAAAUGUUGGGAGAACAACUCUGUCCUCAAUCAUUCAGACUUUUUGUUGACAGAACAGGUAUGUAUUCUAACAAUAGGCACUGUACUGUAAUACUGUAUACUUUCUGUGAUGCUUCAUACAAUAUUGCAGUAUUCGACUUUCAUUUUACAGUAUACAGUAAGUAUACUAUAUACACUGACAUUUUGGAUGAGUGACAUUUUGUGGAUAAGAAUUUGUGGCCCAACAGACAGGAACAUCAGGAGGUGUAGGAAGACUGUACUGUAAUUCCUACAGCACUGCAUUUCCAGUUUUCCCUAAGGAAAUUGUCCUAUGUUCACAUUUCUACUUUUGUUUUUUAGGGCCCGAGCGUAGCUGCUAAGCAGCUGCGAGAGCCCUAUUGUUCCUCUAGUGGUUUUUCUUUGUUUCUUUCUUUCUUUAGGGCCCGAGCGUAGCUGCUAAGCAGCUGCGAGAGCCCUUUUGUUCCUGAUGGAUUCUUCUUUCGUUAUAAUUAUUAGGGCCCGAGCGUAGCUGCUAAGCAGCUGCGAGAGCCCUAUUGUUCCUGUAUGGGUUUUUCUUUCUUCUUUCUUUCUUUAGGGCCCGAGCGUAGCUGCUAAGCAGCUGCGAGAGCCCUAUUGUUCCUGUAUGGGUUUUUCUUUCUUCUUUCUUUCUUCUUCUUUUUCCUCCCCUUUGAACUGGAAAAUGGCCCACUUCCCACUGGCGAAAACUCAUGAAAUUUGGCAGGACGACUGGGCCUGGUGAAAAAUUCGAUAUUCUGUAGUCGCCCAAACAAUAACAUGCAAAACGGCUCCAUAGCGCCCCCUAAGGUGAAAAUUCACUGUAUUGACUGUCACGCCUGUACGCUUUGUCAUAUUGACACAAAAAUUGACACACACAUGUAUCUCAAUAAGAUCUACAAAAAAGUCAGUGCGGGCGUAUCUGUCAAAUGUACGGUUAAAGGGUUAUUUCGCAUUUUUUGCCGAUCCACACACAUCAGAAUUUCGCUAACUCCUCCGAAGGCUUUCGUUCCACCGGCACCACAUUUGCUCAGGCCAAUCUACACCCCAUGGCCAUUAAAAGUUAUUCAAAUCAUGACGCUGCACCCCACAGUUUAGGUUCUAGGGGGCGCCAAAGAUAACCCCAAAAUCCACAGUCUUAAAAGUCUUAUAACUUUUUAUUUUUGCCCUCACUGGCCUCCAAGUUUUCUAGGAUGAUGCAAUGUCCAGCCAUCAACACAUUUGUGAAGGAAUUUUUACUCCCCAAAAGAGCGCCCCCCCCAUGGCAGGAGAAAAAAGUCCAUUUUUUCUUGUCCCCUAAGGUGAAAAUACACACUAUUGACUGUCACGCCUGUACGCUUUGUCAUAUUGACACAAAAAUUGACACACACAUGUAUCUCAAUAAGAUCUACGAAAAAGUCAACGUGCGCGUAUCUGUCAAAUGUACGGUUAAAGGGUUAUUCCACAUUUUUUGCCGAUCCGCACACAUUGGAAUUUCGCUAACUCCUCCGAAGGCUUUCGUUCCACCGGCACCACAUUUGCUCAGGCCAAUCUACUCCCCCUAGCCAUUAAAAGUUAUUCAAAUCAUGACGCUGCACCCCACGGUUUAGGCUCUAGGGGGCGCCAAAGAUAACCCUAAAAUCCACAGUCUUAAAAGUCUUAUAACUUUUUAUUUUUGUCCUCACUGGCCUCCAAGUUUUCUAGGAUGAUGCAAUGUCCAGCCAUCAACACAUUUGUGAAGGAAUUUUUACUCCCCAAAAGAGCGCCCCCCCCCCAUGGCAGGAGAAAAAAGUCAAUUUUUUCUUGUCCCCUAAGGUGAAAAUUCACAUUGUUGAGUGUGACACCUGUACGCUUUGUCAUAUUGACACAAAAUUUGACAAUCACGUGUAUCUCAAUAAGAUCUACGAAAAAGUCAAUGCGCGCGUAUCUGUAAAAUGUACGCUUAAAGGGCUAUUUUGCAUUUUUUGCCGAUUCGCACACAUUGGAAUGUGGCUAACUCCUCCUAAGGCUUUCGUUCCACCGGCACCAAAUUUGCUCAGGCCAAUCUACACCCCAUGGCCAUUCAAAGUUGUACAAAUCAUGACGCUGCACCCCACGGUUUACGCUCUAGGGGGCGCCAAAGAUAACCCAAAAAUCCACAUUCUUAAAAGUCUUAUAACUUUUUUUUUUUGUCCUCACUGGCUUCCAAGUUUUCUAGGAUGAUGCAAUGUCUAGCCAUCAACACAUUUGUGAAGGAAUUUUUACUCCCUAAAAGAGUGCCCCCCCAUGGCAGGAGAAAAAGUCAAGUUUUUCCUGCCCAUCGCUUAAUGGCUCAAACACAUUGCUCUCUCGGCAAAACCGAAAGGAGGAGAAACUUGCCAUUUGGAUAUAUCCUAGCUGUGUUUGUGCCCUCACUCAUGGUCCAGACUUUUUUCAAAUAGGACAUGGAGUUUGUCUGCAGCGAGCGUUUUGGUAGAAACUGCGCCUCCCAUUCAUUAUAAUGGUAAAUGACCACAGACAAGUGCGCACACCAUCUUUGGACCUUGAGUGUGACGCGAUCGGGAGGGAGAGGCGGUCGUGUUGGGGGCGGCGCGACACAGCUCGGGCCCGCCAGUGCCCCAACUGGGCCCUAGUUAGGGCCCGAGCGUAGCUGCUAAGCAGCUGCGAGGCCCUAUUAUUCCUGUAGUGGUUUUUCUUUGUUUCUUUUUUCUUUUUCCUCCCCUUUGAACUGGAAAAUGGCCCACUUCCCACUGGCGAAAACUCAUGAAAUUUGGCAGGACGACCGGGCCUGGUGAAAAAUUGGAUAUUCUGAAGUCGCCCAAACAAUAAAAUGCAAAAUGGCUCCAUAGCGCCCCCAAAGGUGAAAAUUCACACCAUUGACUGUCACGCCUGUACGCUUUGUCAUAUUGACACAAAAUUUGACACACACAUGUAUCUCAAUAAGAUCUACAAAAAAGUCUGUGCGGGGGUAUCUGUCAAAUGUACGGUUAAAGGGUUAUUUCGCAUUUUUUGCCGAUCUGCACACAUUGGAAUUUCGCUAACUCCUCCGAAGGCUUUCGUUCCACCGGCACCACAUUUGCUCAGGCCAAUCUACACCCCAUGGCCAUUAAAAGUUGUACAAAUCAUGACGCUGCACCCCACGGUUUAGGUUCUAGGGGGCGCCAAAGAUAACCCCAAAAUCCACAGUCUUAAAAGUCUUAUAACUUUUUAUUUUUGUCCUCACUGGCCUCCAAGUUCUCUAGGAUGAUGCAAUGUCCAGCCAUCAACACAUUUGUGAAGGAAUUUUUGCUCGCCAAAAGAGCGCCCCCCCAUGUCAGGAGAAAAAAGUCCAUUUUUUCUUGUCCCCUAAGGCGAAAAUACACAUUGUUGAAUGUCACACCUGUACGCUUUGUCAUAUUGACACAAAAUUUGACAAUCACGUGUAUCUCAAUAAGAUCUACGAAAAAGUCAAUGCGUGCGUAUCUGUAAAAUGUACGGUUGAAGGGCUAUUUCGCAUUUUUUGCCGAUUCGCACACAUUGGAAUGUGGCUAACUCCUCCAAAGGCUUUCGUCCCACUGACACCAAAUGUGCUCAGGCCAAUCUACAUCCCAUGGCCAUUCAAAGUUGUAAAAAUCAUGACGUUGCACCCCACGGUCUACGUUCUAGGGGGCGCCAAAGAGGACCCAAAUAUCCACAUUUUUAAAAGUCUUAUAACUUUUUAUUUUUGUCCUUACUGGCCUCCAAGUUUUCUAGGACGAUACAAUGUCCAGCCAUCAACACAUUUGUGAAGAAAUUUUUACUCCCCAAAAGGGCGCCCGCCAAUGGCAGGAGAAAAAGUCAAGUUUUUCCUGCCCAUCGCUCAAUGGCUCAAACGCAUCGCUCUCUCGGCAAAACUGAAAGGAGGAGAAACUUGCCAUUUGGAUAUAUCCUAGCUGUGUUUCUGCCCUCACUCAUGGUCCAGACUUUUUUCAAAUAGGACAUGUAAUUUGUCUGCAGCGAGCGUUUUGAUAGAAACUGCACCUCCUAUUCAUUAUAAUGGUAAAUGACCACAGACAAGUGCGCACACCAUCUUUGGACCUUGAGUAUGACGCGAUCAGGAGUGGGAGGUGGUCGCGCUGGGGGCGGCGCGACACGGCUCGGGCCCGCCAGUGCCCCAACGGGGCCCUAGUUAGGGCCCGAGCGUAGCUGCUAAGCAGCUGCGAGAGCACUGUUGUUUUUCAAUGGGUUUUUCUUUCUUCUUUUUAGGGCCCGAGCGUAGCUGCUAAGCAGCUGCGAGAGCCCUCUUGUUCCUGCAUGUUUCCUUCUUUCGUUAUUAUUUUUCCUCCGCUUUAAACUGGAAAAUGGCCCACUUCCCACUGGCGAAAACUCAGGAAAUUUGGCAGGACGACCGGGCCUGGUGAAAAAUUCGAUAUUCUGAAGUCGCCCAAACAAUAAAAUGCAAAAUGGCUCCAUAGCGCCCCCUAAGGUGAAAAUUCACAUGACGGCUGUACGCUUUGUCAUAUUGACACAAAAAUUGACACACACAUGUAUCUCAAUAAGAUCUACAAAAAAGUCAGUGCGGGCGUAUCUGUCAAAUGUACGGUUAAUGGGUUAUUUUGCAUUUUUUGCAGAUCUGCACACAUUGGAAUUUCGCUAACUCCUCUGAAGGCUUUCGUUCGACCGGCACCACAUUUGCGCAGGCCAAUCUACCCCCCAUGGCCAUUAAAAGUUGUACAAAUCAUGACGCUGCACCCCACGGUUUACGUUCUAGGGGGCGCCAAAGAUAACCCAAAAUCCACAUUCUUAAAAGUCUUAUAACUUUUUAUUUUUGUCCUCACUGCCCUCCAAGUUUUCUAGGAUGAUGCAAUGUCCAGCCAUCAACACAUUUGUGAAGGAAUUUUUACUCCCCAAAAGAGCGCCCCCCCAUGGCAGGAGAAAAAAGUCAAUUUUUUCUUGUCCCCUUACAUGAAAAUACACAUUGUUGAGUGUCAUGCCUGAACGCUUUGUCAUAUUGACACAAAAAUUGACAAUCACGUGUAUCUCAAUUAGAUCUACGAAAAAGUCAAAAAGCGCGUAUCUGUAUAAUGUACGGUUAAAGGGCUAUUUCGCAUUUUUUGCCGAUUCGCACACAUUGGAAUGUGGCUAUCUCCUCCUAAGGCUUUCGUCCCACCGAUACCAAAUUUGCUCAGGGCAAUCUACACCCCAUGCCCAUUCAAAGUUGUAAAAAUCAUGACGCUGCACCCCACGGUUUACGUUCUAGGGGGCACCAAAGAUGACCCAAAAAUCCACAUUCUUAAAAGUCAUUUUGGCCACUGCAGGAGUACAGAGUACUGCAGUUCUAGGGGGCGCCAAAGAUGACCCAAAAAUCCACAUUCUUAAAAGUCUUUUUGGCCACUGCAGGAGUACAGAGUACUGCAGGAUACACACACAUAUACACACACACACACACACACACACACACACACACACACACACACACACUCAGAGUCUGUUUUUUAGCACCUGCAAAAACAUGCUGUUUACAUAUUUGACAAGAAUGCAGAGGCUUCCUUUUGCCGCUGAAAAAAAUCAUAUUUCAAACACAACUUGACUGUUCAUUUCUCCAAAAGACAACCAUGAAGCUCCAUCCAAACCUGAAGCAGAUAGUUGGUGCAUGUGUACAGUAACCUGAGGGGAGUGAGGUGACUAUUUCUGAGGAGAAAAUGAGCAGUGAAGAUUCACCUUGGAGCUAGAACAGGGACGUGCACAUGAUAAUACAGGGGCAGGGGCUCAAGUUUUUUCCAGUCAUUUAUACAAUAUGGAAAUUAAUGUGAAAUUAAACCACAAAUAUGUGUGAUGAACUGUUUUUAAAACUUAAACUUCAAAUAAAAAUUGUAAACUUCAAAACAUAUGCAAAUUUUUAACAAAGAACAUAGUAAUUUACCUCUAUUUACAUCAAAAUGGCGGCAAUGGCCCAGGCGUUCUUUGUAAAAUUAUUUACAAAACACUGUAUAGUCUCACAAAUGUCACUUUUUAUUUAUGCCACUACAAAAAAUGAUGAAUGAUGUAAAUGAUGCAUGAUGUAAAACAUGAUGUAAAAAACUUGUGUAGAUCCUCCUCUAUGUCAGUCCAUGUGUAAUUUUUCCAUAAUUCUUUGUUUUUUGCAGCAUUUUUGUUAGUGUAACUGCAGAUUGUGCUGACAGUCUAUGGCAAAAAAAACAAAAACUGAAAAUGCCUCAACAUGAACCCCUGGUGGUCUCUGAGGGUGAAACCUGCUAACUGCUGCAGCUCUGUCAGCUUCAGUCUCCCAUGCAGAGCUCGGAGCGCAUGUGUGGCUCUGCACCCUUAGCAGCGUUGCUAACUCCUCAGUAAGGAAAGCCUGCUUCAUGUCAGAGUCUCUAAACUCCAGAAGAAGUCGAUAAAAGUCCCUUUCUUUCUAAAAAAAGUCGUUAGGGGGUCUGAAAAGUAAUUGAAUCUAACAACACAGUCGCUAGGUUUGCAACUACGUGUCCCAGACUGCAUCCCUGCUGAGAGUCCCUCCCUCCCUUCUCAUAUUGCAGGAAGAACGUAAGCGCCCGCCCCUUGUCAAUCAGUCACCAUAUAAUUUUGGAUUGGUUGUUGUGGUGAAGUUUUCCACCAAUAGGAGAGAUGUUGUGGUGUGUUUUUUUUUUCUUUUGGCAAGCCUUUUCCGCCUGUAAGACCUGUCGCUAAUGUGUGCAUGCUAUGUUUUCCUGUCUCAUACAGCGCGAUCGAGCGCCGAACGUGAUCAAAAUAAGCAGAAAAAAAGUAUCGCGGACAUAAUUUAUCAUAACUCUGGUUUUAUUUGGCCAAUCAACACAAUUUAAAAACUGGUAUAUAGGUUGAGGUCCUCACUUUUGAGAUAAGUUGAAACGGAGAGUUAACGAGGCUCCGUCUUGCAGCUACAUCCGGUUAAAUAUGUCAUGUGACUUGAACGCUGGGGAGCGUCAAUCGAAUCGAAUCAAACCUAACUCUCAGAUGAAUCUUCAAAAUUCACCUCAGAAAUAUGCUUAUUAUUCUUCUCAGAGUACUGCAGGAUACACACACACACACACACAGACACACACACGCACACACACACACACACACACACUCAGAGUCUGUUUUUUAGCACCUGCAAAAACAUGCUAUUUACAUAUUUGACAAGAAUGCAGAGGCUUCCUUUUGCCCCUGAAAAAAAUCAAAUUUCAAACACAACUUGACUGCUCAUUUCUCCAAAAGACAACCAUGAAGCUCCAUCCAAACCUGAAGCAGGCAGUUGGUGCAUGUGUACAGUAACCUGAGGGGAGUGAGGUGACUGCUUCUGAGGAGAACAUGAGCAGUGAAGAUUCACCUUGGAGCUAGAACAGGGACGUGCACAUGAUAAUACAGGGGCAGGGGCUCAAGUUUUUUCCAGUCGUUUAUACAAUAUGGAAAUUAAUGUGAAAUUAAAAAACAAAGUAUGACUGUCCUGUGUAGGUGACAGUGAUAUCCAAUAGGCUAGGCACUCACGAGGCUGGCUGUGGCAAGUGUAAGUGAAAGCAACACGCACUGGCAGGAAGAACAGCAAACGCCGAUGAAGGAAAAGGGUCUUUGCAGUGAUGGGCGUUACCAGAGAGGGCGAUGGCCAGAGGACACAAAUGGGACAGGGAGGCAGCACGUUGGGGGGGGGGCGACACGGCUCGGGCCCGCCAGUGCCCCAACGGGGUCCUAGUUAGGGCCCGAGCGUAGCUGCUAAGCAGCUGCGAGAGCCCUAUUAUUCCCCAAGUGGUUUUUCUUUGUUUCUUUUUUCUUUUUCCUCCCCUUUGAACUGGAAAAUGGCCCACUUCCCACUGGCGAAAACUCAUGAAAUUUGGCAGGACGACCGGGCCUGGUGAAAAAUUCGAUAUUCUGAAGUCGCCCAAACAAUAAAAUGCAAAAUGGCUCCAUAGCGCCCCCUAAGGUGAAAAUUCACAUGACGGCUGUACGCUUUGUCAUAUUGACACAAAAAUUGACACACACAUGUAUCUCAAUAAGAUCUACAAAAAAGUCCAUGCGCGCGUAUCUGUCAAAUGUACGGUUAAAGGGUUAUUCCGCAUUUUUUGCCGAUACGCACACAUUGGAAUUUCGCUAACUCCUCCGAAGGCUUUCGUUCCACCGGCACCACAUUUGCUCAGGCCAAUCUACACCCCAUGGCCAUUAAAAGUUAUUCAAAUCAUGAUGCUGCACCCCAUGGUUUAGGUUCUAGGGGGCGCCAAAAAUAACCCAAAAAUCCACAUUCUUAAAUGUUUUAUAACUUUUUAUUUUUGUCCUCACUGGCCUCCAAGUUUUCUAGGAUGAUGCAAUGUCCAGCCAUCAACACAUUUGUGAAGGAAUUUUUACUCCCCAAAAGAGCGCCCCCCCCCCAUGGUAGGAGAAAAAAGUCAAUUUUUUCUUGUCCCCUUACAUGAAAAUACACAUUGUUGAGUGUCACGCCUGAACGCUAUGUCAUAUUGACACAAAAAUUGACAAUCAUGUGUAUCUCAAUUAGAUCUACGAAAAAGUCAAAGAGCGCGUAUCUGUAUAAUGUACGGUUAAAGGGCUAUUUUGCAUUUUUUGCCGAUUCGCACACAUUGGAAUGUGGCUAUCUCCUCCUAAGGCUUUCGUCCCACCGAUACCAAAUUUGCUCAGGGCAAUCUACACCCCAUGCCCAUUCAAAGUUGUAAAAAUCAUGACGCUGCACCCCACGGUUUACGUUCUAGGGGGCGCCAAAGAUGACCCAAAAAUCCACAUUCUUAAAAGUCAUUUUGGCCACUGCAGGAGUACAGAGUACUGCAGUUCUAGGGGGCGCCAAAGAUGACCCAAAAAUCCACAUUCUUAAAAGUCUUUUUGGCCACUGCAAGAGUACAGAGUACUGCAGGAUACACACACAUAUACACACACGCCAAACACAUACACACACACACACACACACACACACACACACACACACACACACACACACACACUCAGAGUCUGUUUUUUAGCACCUGCAAAAACAUGCUGUUUACAUAUUUGACAAGAAUGCAGAGGCUUCCUUUUGCCCCUGAAAAAAAUCAAAUUUCAAACACAACUUGACUGUUCAUUUCUCCAAAAGACAACCAUGAAGCUCCAUCCAAACCUGAAGCAGAUAGUUGGUGCAUGUGUACAGUAACCUGAGGGGAGUGAGGUGACUAUUUCUGAGGAGAACAUGAGCAGUGAAGAUUCACCUUGGAGCUAGAACAGGGACGUGCACAUGAUUAUACAGGGGCAGGGGCUCAAGUUUUUUCCAGUCAUUUAUACAAUAUGGAAAUUAAUGUGAAAUUAAACCACAAAUAUGUGUGAUGAACUGUUUUUAAAACUUAAACUUCAAAUAAAAAUUGUAAACUUCAAAACAUAUGCAAAUUUUUAACAAAGAACAUAGUGAUUUACCUCUAUUUACAUCAAAAUGCAGGCAAUGGCCCAGGCGUUCUUUGUAAAAUUAUUUACAAAACACUGUAUAGUCUCACAAAUGUCACUUUUUAUUUAUGCCACUACAAAAAAACAUGAUGUAAAUGAUGCAUGAUGUAAAACAUGAUGUAAAAAACUUGUGUAGAUCCUCCUCUAUGUCAGUCCAUGUGUAAUUUUUCCAUAAUUCUUUGUUUUUUGCAGCAUUUUUGUUAGUGUAGCUGCAGAUUGUGCUGACAGUGUCUAUGGCACAAAAAAAAAAAAAAAUUAAAAUGCCUCAACAUGAACCCCUGGUGGUCUCUGAGGGUGAAACCUGCUAACUGCUGCAGCUCUGUCAGCUUCAGUCUCCCAUGCAGAGCUCUGAGCGCAUGUGUGGCUCUGCACCCUUAGCAGCGUUGCUAACUCCUCAGUAAGGAAAGCCUGCUUCAUGUCAGAGUCUCUAAACUCCAGAAGAAGUCGAUAAAAGUCCCUUUCUUUCUAAAAAAAAGUCGUUAGGGGGUCUGAAAAGUCAUUGAAUCUAACAACAAAGUCGCUAGGUUUGCAACUACGUGUCCCAGACUGCAUCCCUGCUGAGAGUCCCUCCCUCCCUUCUCAUGUUGCAGGAAGAACGUAAGCGCCCGCCCCUUGUCAAUCAGUCACCAUAUAAUUUUGGAUUGGUUGUUGUGGUGAAGUUUUCCACCAAUAGGAGAGAUGUUGUGGUGUGUUUUUUUUUUCUUUUGGCAAGCCUUUUCCGCCUGUAAGACCUGUCGCUAAUGUCUGCAUGCUAUGUUUUCCUGUCUCAUACAGCGUGAUCGAGCGCCGAACGUGAUCAAAAUAAGCAGAAAAAAAGUAUCGCGGACAUAAUUUAUCAUAACUCUGGUUUUAUUUGGCCUAUCAACACAAUUUAAAAACUGGUAUAUAGGUUGAGGUCCUCACUUUUGAGAUAAGUUGAAACGGAGAGUCAACGAGGCUCCGUCUUGCAGCUACAUCCGGUUAAAUAUGUCAUGUGACUUGAACGCACACACAGACACACACACACACUCAGAGUCUGGUUUUUAGCACCUGCAAAAACAUGCUAUUUACAUAUUUGACAAGAAUGCAGAGGCUCCUUUUGCCCCUGAAAAAAAUCAAAUUUCAAACACAACUUGACUGGUCAUUUCUCCAAAAGACAACCAUGAAGCUCCAUCCAAACCUGAAGCAGGCAGUUGGUGCAUGUGUACAGUAACCUGAGGGGAGUGAGGUGAGUGCUUCUGAGGAGAACAUGAGCAGUGAAGAUUCACCUUGGAGCUAGAACAGAGACAUGCACAUGAUUAUACAGGGGCAGGGGCUCAAGUUUUUUCCAGUCGUUUAUACAAUAUGGAAAUUAAUGUGAAAUUAAAACACAAAGUAUUAAUAGAAAGGUAAUGACUGUCCUGUGUAGGUGACAGUGAUAUCCAAUAGGCUAGGCACUCACGAGGCUGGCUGUGGCAAGUGUAAGUGAAAGCAACACGCACUGGCAGGAAGAACAGCAAACGCCGAUGAAGGAAAAGGGUCUUUGCAGUGAUGGGCGUUACCAGAGAGGGCGAUGGCCAGAGGACACAAAUGGGACGGGAAGGCAGCACGUUGGGGGGGGGGGGGGGAUGCGACACGGCUCGGGCCCGCCAGUGCCCCAACGGGGCCCUAGUUAGGGCCCGAGCGUAGCUGCUAAGCAGCUGCGAGAGCCCUGUUGUUCCUGAUGAGUUUUUCUUUCUUCUUUCUUUCUUUCUUUCUUUCUUUCUUCUUAUUUUUCCUCCCCUUUGAAGGGGAAAAUGGCCCACUUCCCACUGGCGAAAACUCAUGAAAUUUGACAGGACGACCGGGCCUGGUGAAAAAUUCGAUAUUCUGAAGUCGCCCAAACAAUAAAAUGCAAAAUGGCUCCAUAGCGCCCCCUAAGGUGAAAAUUCACACUAUUGACUGUCACGCCUGUACGCUUUGUCAUAUUGACACAAAAAUUGACACACACAUGUAUCUCAAUAAGAUCUACAAAAAAGUCAGCACGGGCGUGUCUGUCAAAUGUACGGUUAAAGGGUUAUUUCGCAUUUUUUGCCGAUCCGCACACAUUGGAAUUUCGCUAACUCCUCCGAAGGCUUUCGUUCCACCGGCACCACAUUUGCUCAGGCCAAUCUACACCCCAUGGCCAUUAAAAGUUGUACAAAUCAUGACGCUGCACCCCACGGUUUACGUUCUAGGGGGCGCCAAAGAUAACCCAAAAAUCCACAGUCUUAAAAGUCUUAUAACUUUUUAUUUUUGUCCUCACUGGCCUCCAAGUUCUCUAGGAUGAUGCAAUGUCCAGCAAUUAACACAUUUGUGAAGGAAUUUUUACUCGCCAAAAGAGCGCCCCCCCAUGGCAGGAGAAAAAAGUCCAUUUUUUCUUGUCCCCUAAGGCGAAUAUACACAUUGUUGAGUGUCACGCCUGUACGCUUUGUCAUAUUGACACAAAAUUUGACAAUCACGUGUAUCUCAAUAAGAUCUACGAAAAAGUCAAUGUGCGCGUAUCUGUAAAAUGUACAGUUAAAGGGCUAUUUCGCAUUUUUUGCCGAUUCGCACACAUUGGAAUGUGGCUAACUCCUCCUAAGGCUUUCGUUCCACUGACACCAAAUUUGCUCAGGCCAAUCUACACCCCAUGGCCAUUCAAAGUUGUACAAAUCAUGACGCUGCAUCCCACGGUUUACGUUCUAGGGGGCGCCAAAGAUGACCCAAAUAUCCACAUUUUUAAAAGUCUUAUAACUUUAUUUUUGUCCUCACUGGCCUCCAAGUUUUCUAGGAUGAUGCAAUGUUCAGUCAUCAACACAUUUGUGAAGGAAUUUUUACUCCCCAAAAGAGCGCCCCCCCAUGGCAGGAGAAAAAAGUCCAGUUUUUCUUCCCCCCUAAGGUGAAAAUUCACAUUAUUGAGUGUCACGCCUGUACGCUUUGUCAUAUUGAAACAAACUUUGACAAUCACGUGUUUCUCAAUAAGAUCUACGAAAUAGUCAAUGGGCGCGUAUCUGUAAAAUGUACGGUUAAAGGGCUAUUUCGCAUUUUUGGUCGAUUCGCACACAUUGGAAUGUGGCUAACUCCUCCUAAAUCUUUCGUUCCACUGACACCAAAUUUACUCAGGCCAAUCUACACCCCAUGGCCAUUCAAAGUUGUAAAAAUCAUGACGCUGCACCCCACGGUUUAUGUUCUAGGGGGCGCCAAAGAUAACCCAAAAAUCCACAUUCUUAAAAGUCUUAUAACUUUUUAUUUUUGUCCUCACUGGCCUCCAAGUUUUCUAGGAUGAUGCAAUGUUUAGCCAUCAACACAUUUGUGAAGGAAUUUUUACUCCCUAAAAGAGCGCCCCCCCCCCAUGGCAGGAGAAAAAGUCAAGUUUUUCCUGCCCAUCGCUCAAUGACUCAAACACAUCGCUCUCUCGGCAAAACCGAAAGGAGGAGCAACUUGCCAUUUGGAUAUAUCCUAGCUGUGUUUGUGCCCUCACUCAUGGUCCAGUCCUUUUCAAAUAGGACAUGUAGUUUGUCUGCGGCGAGCGUUUUGGUAGAAACUGCGCCUCCCAUUCAUUAUAAUUGUAAAUGACCACAGACAAGUGCGCACACCAUCUUUGGACCUUGAGUGUGACGCGAUCGGUAGGGAGAGGUGGUCGUGUUGGGGGCGGCGCGACACGGCUCGGGCCCGCCAGUGCCCCAACGGGGCCCUAGUUUUUUCAUUGUUUUAUAUUAUUUUAUUUUAUUUUAUUUUAGGGUUCCUGUGCUUUUGUUUUUCUUCCCCCCUCCCCUCUUUUUUCUUAGGAAGGACUGACUCCUGAGGUUCUCAUGCCAGGAAAAAUGUACCUCCCUCACUCACGGUUUUACCCACAAAUCCUUUGCUGUAACAGGAAGAUUGAUUCCUUAGGCUCUCAUCCCUGAGAACUAAAAUACCCACAAUCCCUUACCAUUGCAUACAAAUUUAAUGUAGCAAAACUCAAUUUAAAACAAAACUACAUUAAAAUUAACUUAAAACAACUUGAAAGUUUAAAAUACAACCAAGAGACAUCCAUUCUGGAAUACAAACAUCGAGAAGAGAACACAACCAUGUCUGAGAGGAACAGCACAAACCAUGACUGGAGCCCAACUCUGAGGAUGUCUUCUCCUGUCAAAAGCACAUUUAAGUGCUGUGCACUAAACAGCAAUUCCUGUUCCUGUAAUUGAGCACUGACCACUGGACCAAGAAGACGGACCACCGCCUCGAGGAAGACGCCGCGCCGCCACCUGAAAGAAGACGCCGCACCUCCAUCACUCCAAGCCGCCCACCACCGAGCUUCGACCCGCCGACGGCACCGAGUCCCAGCAAACCUUCCCACGGAUCGCCUAUCUUCUUUCCCCCGCCGAGGACCCCGGACUUCAGACACACCGCUGCCGCCGCGGCUGGACAGCUGGAACCUUUCCCCCCCUCCAACAGAUUUUAGACUACUGGAAAAGAAACGCCUCACAUCAACAACAACAUAGGACCACUAGGGUAAGUCUACGAAAAACCUCUCAAACACCUCAAAAUUACUCUUAAUAGUUAGUUUUGUUUGUUGAACUUCAGUUUGUGUCGUUUUUGAACUUGAGUUUGUGUCGUGUUUGAAGUUUGUGGCAACUCUGAGACUUUGCACUAAUGCACCAUAACCCUACUCCUAUAGAUAAAAUUCACCCUAUUCCCUCCCUACUAACACCACCUAGUCCUUCUCAAUAAGAAAAAUUAUUAUUAUUAAUAUUAUUAUUAUUAUUAUUAUUAUUAUUAUUAUUAUUAUUUUAACACUUAACCAUACCAACUCUAAUCCCUGACUGAACUUCCAAAAAUAAUUGCUCUACAAACACAUAGUCUAAAAGAUAGACAGCAUAGCAUACCAAUUGAGCUGAGUCAUUAAACUUCCUACCAACACAUAAUUUUUACACACAGAUUGAGCUCGGAGACUCGACUGGGAACAUGUGACAGGUCGACAUGCGCCGGCCAGUGCAAGCCCUUGAUUAGCCUACCCCAAACCGCCAAGGCAACUGACGAAUGUGGGGGCUAUCACUCUAUCUCUUACCCACACCCCAAAAAAUUUUCAUUUCAUUUUUCGUUUUUUUUUUCUUGUCUAACUAACUCAAAAAGGUUGGAAAAGCAGAUCCUACAAAGGUUUUGGACAGUGAUUUUAACCCUAACGCCAAAAACCUUAAACCUUACCAUAGCCCCGUAACCUAAUACCCGGGUAUUACCUUCAGGAAGCCUUCAAACCCCAAACAUUUUUCAUUUCAUUUUUCGUUUUUUUUUUUGGUCUAGCUAACUCCAAAAGGUUGGAAAAGAGUUCCUACAAAGGUUUUGGACAGUGAUUUUAACCCUAACGCCAAAAACCACGUCUGUACGCUUUGUCAUAUUGAUACAAAAAUUGACACACACGUGUAUCUUAAUAAGGUCUACGAAAAAGUCAGUGCAGGCGCUUUUGUGAAAAGUACGGUUAAAGGGCUAUUUCGCAUUUUUUGCCGGUCCGCACACAUUGGAAUGUGGCUAACUCCUCUGAAGGCUUUCGUUCCACCGGCACCAAAUUUGCUCAGGCCAAUCUACACCCCAUGGCCAUUAAAAGUUGUACAAAUCAUGACGCUGCACCCUACGGUUUAAGUUCUAGGGGGCGCCAAAAAAAAACCAAAAAUCCACAUUCUUAAAAGUCUUAUAACUUUUUAUUUUAGUCCUCACUGGCCUCCAAGUUUUCUAGGAUAAUGCAAUGUCCAGCCAUCAACACAUUUGAGAAGGAAUUUUUACUCCCCAAAAGAGCGCCCCCCCAUGGCAGGAGAAAAAAGUCCAUUUUUUCUUGUCCACUAAGGUGAAAAUACACUUUGUUGAGUGUCACGCCUAUACACUUUGUCAUAUUGACACAAAAUUUGACACACACGUGUAUCUCAAUAAGAUUUACGAAAAAGUCAAUGCGCACGUAUCUGUGAAAUGUACGGUUAAAGGGCUAUUUCGCAUUUUUUGCCGAUUCGCACACAUUGGAAUGUUGCUAACUCCUCCUAAGGCUUUCGUCCCACCGACACCAAAUUUGCUCAGGCCAAAUUCGUUUAUUAAAUCUGAUGCUACAGAAAAAGCUAAAAGGCUCAAAUUUUUGCUAUAUUAGUGACUUUAUGUCUUGAAUGGGCUCUUAAAGGGUUAAAAAAAUAUUUUCAAUGAAACAUUUGCUAGUUUUGAACAGGGCAGAAGUAAAAUAAGAGAUGUAAAAAAGAAAAAUCUGGAAAAAAUAUGAAUCCAAUUUGAUUUUACAGCAGACAAAGUACUUUUGGCCACUGAGUGGCGCCAAAGGGAGUUGUCUAUUAACAGCAGACAAGGUAGUUAUGGCCACUGAGGGGCGCCAAAGGGAGCUUUCUAUUAAAUCUGAUGCUACAGAAAAAGUUAAAAGGCAUCAAAGUCAAUCAUAUUACUUAUCUCUCACAUAUUCAAGACUUUGAUGCCCUGCAAGAGAUAACCAGUUUUUAUAAUGUUUAAUAAAAAAAAUUGGUCAUUUUCCUUACCCCCCAUGGCAGGAGAAAAAGUCAAGUUUUUCCUGCCCAUCGCUCAAUGGCUCAAACGUAUUGCUCUCCCGCUAAAACCGAAAGGAGGAGCAACUUGCCAUUUGGAUAUAUCCUAGCUGUGUUUGUCCCCUCACUCAUGGUCCAGACUUUUUUCAAAUAGGACAUGUAGUUUGUCUGCAGCGAGCGUUUUGAUAGAAACUGCACCUUCCGUUCAUUAUAAUGGUAAAUGACCACAGACAGGUGCGCACACCAUCUUUGGACCUUGAGUGUGAUGCGAUCGGGAGGGGGAUGCGUUUGCGUUGGGGGCGGCACAACAGGGCUCGGGCCCGCCAGUGCCCCAACGGGGCCCUAGUUAGGGCCCGAGCCCACUAGUGGGCGUAGGCCCUCUUGUCAUUGAUGGGGUUUUUCUUUCUUCAUUCUUUAGGGCCCAAGCCAGCUGCAGAGCAGCCGGGCGUAGAGCCCUAUUAUUCCUGUAUGGGUUCUUCUUUCUUUAGGGCCCGAGCGUAGCUGCUAAGCAGCUGCGAGAGCCCUAUUAUUCCUGAUGGAUUCUUCUUUGUUUCUUUCUUUCUUAUUUUUCCUCCCCUUUGAAGGGGAAAAUGGCCCACUUCCCACUGGCGAAAACUCAUGAAAUUUGGCAGGAAGACCGGGCCUGGUGAAAAAUUUGAUAAUCUGAAGUCACCCAAACAAUAAAAUGCGAAAUGGCUCCAUAGCGCCCCCUAAGGUGAAAAUUCACACUAUAGAGUGUCACGUUUGUACGCUUUGUCAUAUUGACACAAAAAUUGACACACACGUGUAUCUCAAUAAGAUCUACAAAAAAGUCAGCGUGGGCGUACCUGUCAAAUGUACGGUUAAAGGGCUAUUUUGUAUUUUUUGCUGAUCCGCACACAUUGGAAUUUCGCUAACUCCUCCGAAGGCUUUCGUUUCACCGGCACCAAAUUUGCUCAGGCCAAUCUACACCUCAUUGCCAUUCAAAGUUGUACAAAUCAUGACGCUGCACCCCACGGUUUAGGUUCAAGGGGGCGCCAAAAAUAACCCAAAAAUCCACAUUCUUAAAAGUCUUAUAACUUUUUAUUUUAGUCCUCACUGGCCUCCAAGUUUUCUAGGAUGAUGCAAUGUCCAGCCAUCAACAUAAUUUUGAAGGAAUUUUUUCUCCCCAAAAGAGCGCCCCUCCAUGGCAGGAGAAAAAAGUCAAUUUUUUCUUGUCCCAUGAGGUGAAAAUACACAUUGUUGAGUGUCAUGCCUGUACGCUUUGUCAUAUUGACACAAAAUUUGACAAUCACGUGUAUCUCUAUAAGAUCUACGAAAA